AUCACAAAUCAGGGUUUUGGUAGUUGUUUUCGUGCUCCUUUCAAGCUCAGGAGUCGAGCAAUACUUUUGGUUGGAACGUGAGGACGUCGGGAACUCGGGAACCAGGAAACCCCCAAAGAGGUGCACAAUGACUCAACGUGAUCGCGAAGGUUUCAGGAAGCUCGGGUUUGACAAGUUGCAAGGUGGCCGGAUCAUCGUGACUUUUUCCGGCGACUUUCUGUUGGUUUUAGGUCCCCAAAGUGAAUUCGGCAAUCGCAGAGGUCAUCGGCGCCGGACUCUGGCGAACCAAGGUUGAAGGAGGAGAAUAUUCCGUCAAAGUUGACGGAAUAUGCUAACGGCGUUAGGUAUAUAUAACGGUAUAUGCUAGUAUUUAACGGAAUAUUCCUUAACACCG